CCCUUGCGCCAACACUGUGCCCUAGUUCAGCACUGCCGGAGCCACUCUUUUUCUUCAGUGUUGCCAUGCCGCCGGCAGAGUGGAGACAAGGGGCUCGGUCGGUGAAUACAACUCCGGUCAUCUUUGUGCGUGGGCGAUUCACAGCUUUGGGCAUAAACCAGUGCGGUUGAAUUGAGGACUUUGACG